AUUGAACGCUGGCGGCAGGCCUAACACAUGCAAGUCGAGCGGAUGAAGGGAGCUUGCUCCUGGAUUCAGCGGCGGACGGGUGAGUAAUGCCUAGGAAUCUGCCUGGUAGUGGGGGAUAACGUCCGGAAACGGGCGCUAAUACCGCAUACGUCCUGAGGGAGAAAGUGUGGGAUCUUCGGACCUCACGCUAUCAGAUGAGCCUAGGUCGGAUUAGCUAGUUGGUGGGGUAAAGGCCUACCAAGGCGACGAUCCGUAACUGGUCUGAGAGGAUGAUCAGUCACACUGGAACUGAGACACGGUCCAGACUCCUACGGGAGGCAGCAGUGGGGAAUAUUGGACAAUGGGCGAAAGCCUGAUCCAGCCAUGCCGCGUGUGUGAAGAAGGUCUUCGGGUUGUAAAGCACUUUAGGUUGGGAGGAAGAGCAGUAAGUUAAUACCUUGCUGUUUUGACGUUACCAACAGAAUAAGCACCGGCUAACUUCGUG
rnacentral:rRNA from 1 species